rnacentral:rRNA from 1 species
UACGUAGGGUGCAAGCGUUGUCCGGAAUUAUUGGGCGUAAAGAGCUCGCAGGCGGUCUGUCGCGUCGGAUGUGAAAAUCCAGGGCUCAACCCUGGACCUGCAUUCGAUACGGGCAGACUAGAGUUCGGUAGGGGAGACUGGAAUUCCUGGUGUAGCGGUGAAAUGCGUAGAGAUCGUAAGGAAGACCAGUGGCGAAGGCGGGUCUCUGGACAGUUCCUGACACUGAGGCACGAAGGCCAGGGGAGCAAACGGG